rnacentral:lncRNA from 1 species
UUUUUUUUUUGGAUUCCACAUGUAAGUGAUAUAUGGUGUUUGUCUUUGUCUGGCUUACUUCACUUAGUAAGAUCAUCUUUAAGUCCAUCCAUGUUGCUGCGAGUGGCACUCUUCCAUUUCUUUUCAUGACUGAGUAAUAGUCCAUUGUAUAUAAGUAUCACAUCUUUUUUUUUCCCCUUCUUUGGUUGCCCCAAGGCAUAUGGAGUUCCCAGGCCAGGCAUUAGAUCCAAGCCACAGUUGCAACCUAUAUUGCAGCUGCAGCAAAACUGGUUUCAGGUCAGGAUUGAAUCUGCAUCUUUGGCCACUGAUCCUGUUGCACCACAGCAGGAACUCCUACCACAUCUUCUUUAUCCACUCCUCUGUCGAUGGUCAUUUAGGUUGCUUCUGUGUCUUGGCUAUUGCAAAUAGUGCUACAACAAACAUUGGGGUGCAUGUAUCUUUUCGAAUUAUGUUUUGUUUUUUUUUUCCAAUCUUGAUUAAUAGCUGCUUUGAAUCCCCUACUGGGGUCUGACAGAUGUUUUGACCCCAAAGACAUCAGACUGCAUGUGUAUGUCUGUAAUAGAGACAAAAGUGACAAAUUAUGUAUCAUUAUUCAUACCCUCAUUCUCUCCCUGGCAGGAUAAGAAGGUCCUGCUUGACAGUGCAACAUUAUCCAACUGCUCCCCAUAUUAAAGGCUUUGGAAUAAUCUGUUGGGGAAGAGAGAGGAACCAGAUAUGGCCAAUACUUGUUGCAGAGAGUUUAACAAUGAUGGUGAAUGGAAGGAAAGUGCUGGCCCUGUAAGAGUUUCCUGGUGGAGCAGUUUAGGGUGCGGGUGUGAGAAAGAGAGUAUUCUGGGAGCAGUAGAGUAUAAAAAGGGGUACCAGAAAACUGUAGAAAGGAUUUAAUUAAAUUAAUUAAUUAAUUUAGGGCAUACAAGGGUCAUAUGGAAGUUCCUAGACUAGGGGUCGAAUUGGAGCUGUAGCUGCCAGCUUAUGCCACAGCCAUGCAGGAUCCUUAGCCCACUGAGCAAGGCCAGGGAUUGAAAACCCAUCCUCAUGGAUACUAGUCCAGUUUGUUUCCCCUGAACCACAAUGGGAAAUCCAAAACUGUAGAAAGGAUUUAAAGAGUGAUUUUUAAAUUAGACCUCUUUUAAUAUUCUUAGCAAUAACUUAAUAAAGUUUGCCGUCAUUUUUAAUUGAUUUGGCUGUGGGACUCCAUUUCUCUAAGUGAGAAACUACAGAGAUAGGAUAUUUUUGUUUCUAUUUUUUUGGGGGGGAGAGGGGGGGUGCUGCACCCACAGCAUGUGCAAGUUCCUUGGCCAGGGAUUGAACCUUUGCUAGAGCAUCGACCCAAGCCACAGCAGUGACAAUGCUGGAUUUUUAGCCCACUGAGCCACCAGGGAACUCCAAGACAGGAUGUUUAGACAUCACAUUCAGAAUCCAGGGAACAUUUAUGAUUAAACAUAUUUAGGAGUUCACAUUGUGGCUCCAUGGAAACAAAUCUGAGUAGCAUCCUUGAGGAUGCAGGUUCGAUCCCUGGCCUUGCUCAGUGGGUUAAGGAUCCAGCAUUGUCGUGAGCUGUGGUGUAGGUCGUAGACAUGGCUUGGCUGUGGUGUAGGCCAGCGGCUACAGCUCUGAUUCCAUCCCUAGCCUUGGAACCUCCAUAUGCUGUGGGUUUGGCCCUAAAAGACCGAAAACAAAAAACAAACAAACAAAAAAACCAAAAAAACAAACGCCCCACAUGUUUAGUAUUCAUUAAGAAAGUGUUUUCCGUCGUGGCGCAGCAGAAACGAAUCUGACUAGGAACCAUAAGAUUAUGGGUUUGACCCCUGGCCUUGCUCAGUGGGUUAAGGAUCCGACUUUGCCAUGAGCUGUGGUGUAGGUUGAACACGUGGCUCGGAUCUGGCAUUGCUGUCCUCCGGCGUAGGCUGGCGGCUAUGGCUCAGUUUAAGCCCCUAGCCUGAGAAACUCCAUGUGCUGCAGGUGAGGCCCUAAAAAGACAAAAGACUAAAAAAUAAAAAAAUAAAGUGUUUUCCAAAGGAACUUUUGUCAGGGUGAUUUAAUGCCUUAAUUAGUGUUCUACCCAGUGCAAUGGAAGGGUCCCAACUGUCUUCCUUUUUCCUUUCUUUGCUAAUUCGUUUUUGUCUCUUUUCUUUUUUUAGGGCCACACCCAUGGCAUAUGGAAGUUCCCAGGCUAGGGGUCGAAUGGGAGCUGCAGCUGCUGGCCUAUGCCACAGCCACAGCCAUGCCAAAUCCCAGCCCUGCAGCUUGCAGCAACAUGGGAUCCUUUAACCCACUGAGAGAUGCCAGGGAUUGUACCCAUAUCCUCACAGAUACUAGCUGGAUUCUUAACCUGCUGAGCCACAAUGGGAACUCCCUCUUUGUUAAAUGAGCUUAUCUUCACUGGGAUGGAGUGGCAUGGGGUGGUUAUUCAGCUACCCAGCACCUCUUCAUCCUUCUAUAGGCAUCAGCAUGUUUAUCCACUCUCCCUAAGCCAUUGUUUUCUCAUCAUGGAAUUUGGGCCAGGCAUUUCUGGUCCUGGGGUGGUCACAUGACUGGGUUUGACCAAUCACAGUCCUAGCCACCUGACUUGUGAUUGGUUCAGUGCAUGGCAAAUAAACCCAGUUAAUCCAAUCAGAAUGAAGUUUGAGAAUCUGAGGUGGCUGCUGGAAACAGUUCUCUUUCUUUUCCCUGGGACUGAAACUGGCACUUGGUCCAGCCAAAGGUAGAAGCAGAGGAGUUGGCUGGAGUUGGCUGAGAGAAAAACCAUUUCCUUCCCCUGUAUAUUUCACUGCCAAGAUUUCCCCCCCCAUCCCUUUUUUUCUUUCUCUGCUGCACCCAUGGCAUAUGGAAGUUCUUGGGCCAGGGUUGAAUCCAAGCUGCAGCUUGGACCCUCAUCACAGCCACAGCAAUACUGGAUCCUUAACCCACUGCACACUGGGCUGAGGAUCAAACUCAACCCUGCCACAGAGACAAUGCUUGACCUGUUGUGCCACCCUGGGAACUCCCCGAGAUUUUAUUCUGAAUCUGUUCUUCAGUAGAAAAUAUUUAUUAUAGCUUCUGGUAUUGGAAGGUAUUAAUGUAUGUGCAGAUAGGUGUGUAUGUUUUAUUUUUACUCAGUGCAAUUUCUCCAGGCCUCAUUUUGCAUGUCUAAGAUUUGUUAAGAUUUGAUGCUUCAAUCAGUUUUUAAAGUAAGAGCAAAUUUUGCAGUAUGUGUUUUUAGGCAAUUAAUUUUAUGUUAAUGAUUCUUCCUUCAAGUUUAAUUUUCUUGCUCUCUUUUGCUAUUACUAACCAGAUAUAACUUCAACCAGUUUUUAAAAUGCAUAACAAAUUUUACCAUGCGUAGUUUAGAUUUUUAAAUACAUGUUAUUUAUUUCUAAGAGUAAUAAGCAUAAUUGACUAAACACACCUCAUUCAUAUUUAUUGUUUGCAAUUAAUAAAGACAAAUGAGUAGGGUGAAUCAGCUUCUGGAAGCACAGAGGGGUUGAAAUGGGAAAGUCACAGCCUUUCAACUUGAAACCUGCCUUAUCACCACUUCAUGGGCAGGAAGAUUGAAGCUUAGAGAGGUAAGUCUUUUUGUCCUGUUAACCUAAGACAAUAAAACAGUUAUUUUUUUUUCCCAGUGAAAUGGGUUUAUUCCAGAGUUGCAAAGAAUUGCAUUUUGGAAUGUACAACUAUGGCAAACCACAGGCAAGUCUGGUAAACCAAAAGAGAAGAAAUGAAGUAGGAGGUAGAUGGGCCCCUGGGCUGAGAAGAACAGGGACUUGUUAGGCCAUGUAAAUUGGGCCUUGCUUCUCUUUGACACAUCAGGGAAAAAGUUAAUGGCAGGAGCUGAGCUCUGCUGGAGUAAAAACUUAAGAUGACCACAUCAAUCACUUCUGGGGUCAAGGCGAUCUCCCCAAUUACACAUGUGCAGUGAGACUCCUCAGGGUCAAAGAGGGAGGGGGAUACCAGGCCAUCAUAAGUCCUUCCACUGUCCCAGCACCCUUUGCUCUGGACUCCAUCUUUACCAAAAAUGCACACACAUCGGGGAGGGUUCUGUGUCCAGUCAAGUGUGAGAAAUAAAACAAGGUAAUUGGCUAAAGGUAAACAAAGACCCGGAAGAACUAUCCUAUAUAAGUGAGUUAAAUAACUUCCCUGGUAUGAUUCUCAUUGAGGGGGAUUCCCACAUCUGCACUCCUCUUUAGGGUGUGUAUUACUUCUUUGCUUCUAACUUAAAUAAACUUCUCUGUGUGCUCUCCCACAUGCUGUAUUGUGUCGCUAAUAAUAAGCUUUAUACCUAUUUUCACAGUCUUUGCCUCCUUGAAACAUUCUUGCUUUCCACAGGGGGCAAGAAUCAGGGCAAUUCUGCGUCUAGCCUCUAGGUGGUCUAGUGACUAGGACUCAUGGUUUUCAUCCAGGCUGCCUAGGUUCAAUUCCUGAGCAGAAAACUGAGAUCUCCAUCCAAGGCAUCACUCACUGCUGUCUCUCCAAGAUCAGAAGCACUUUUAUAGAGAAGAAGGGGAAAUUAGCAGGGGGUGUUGUGAACAAAAAGUCUAUUAGAGGAAAUUCAGAUUUUGAAAUAUUGUGGCUUUCCAUUGGCUGAGCUGUUGCCAGGCAAGUAGAAAAUCUUUCUCCUGUUGUUAGUCGUAAUGUCACUUCCUGCAGGAGAUGCAAGGUACUCUCCCUUCCUGUUGGGAUCUAUAGUAACAUUGAAUGAGAGGAUUUCCCACUGUGGUGCAAUGGGACACAGGUUCAAUCCCUGGCCUGGAACAGUGUGUUAAAGGAGCCAGUGUGGGUGCAGCUAGGGUGUAGGUUCAGAUCUGAUUUUUGGGAACUCCAUAUGCCACAGGGUGGCCAAAAAAGGAAAUGAAAACCAAACAAAACAUUGAAAUCUCCUUUGGUCUGUCAAAAUUAGUAAAAGGAAAUUAAAAUGGAGUCAGGAGGCCAGAGGUGGAGCUUUCGAUGCUUCCUGACUUCAUUUUAGUGAGGUUUUCUUUUAUUAAUUUUCAUAGUUCAAGGUUACAUGGAAAUUAAAUAGCAGAACUGGGAUUCAAAUCCAGGUCUGGAAUCCAUUAUUUUAUAAGUAUGUAUUGAGUGCCUAUAAUGUGUCAGAAAUUCUGUAGGGAUCAGAGACACAAUGGUGAACAAAACAGAUGAAAGCCCCGAUUCCCUAGGACCUUACAUUAUAGAAACAGCUUACCUAAUAGUCUGUAACCUGUGAUGUGUCUAUUUUAAUUCUCAUAGCAAUUUAUUAGGGUUUCUUCAUUCUAAGUGAAAAAAAAAAGGAAAAAAAGGAGUUCCUAUUGUGGCUCAGCAGUUUAUGAACCCAACUAGUAUCCAUGAG